rnacentral:rRNA from 1 species
AUUGAACGCUGGCGGAAUGCUUUACACAUGCAAGUCGAACGGCAGCACGGGGGCAACCCUGGUGGCGAGUGGCGAACGGGUGAGUAAUACAUCGGAACGUGCCCAGUCGUGGGGGAUAACGUAGCGAAAGUUACGCUAAUACCGCAUACGAACUACGGAUGAAAGAGGGGGACCGUAAGGCCUCGCGCGAUUGGAGCGGCCGAUGUCAGAUUCGGUAGUUGGUGAGGUAAAGGCUCACCAAGCCGACGAUCUGUAGCUGGUCGGAGAGGACGACCAGCCACACUGGGACUGAGACACGGCCCAGACUCCUACGGGAGGCAGCAGUGGGGAAUUUUGGACAAUGGGCGCAAGCCUGAUCCAGCCAUUCCGCGUGCAGGACGAAGGCCUUCGGGUUGUAAACUGCUUUUGUACGGAACGAAAAGGCUCUGGUUAAUACCUGGGGCUCAUGACGGUACCGUAAGAAUAAGCACCGGCUAACUACGUGCCAGCCGCCGCAGUAA